UGCAGAAUCCCGUGAACCAUCGAGUUUUUGAACGCAAGUUGCGCCCUAGGCCAUCCGGCUGAGGGCACGCCUGCCUGGGCGUCACGCACUGAGUCGCCCCUUCUUCUCCGAGGAGAGAUGGAGCGGAGAUUGGCCCCCCGUGCUUCCGAGUGCGGUCGGCCUAAAACUUGGCCCUUGGAGGCCGGCGUCACGAUCCGUGGUGGUUGGCAUCAAUUGUCUUAUCCGGAAUCCGUGGUCGUCGUUCCUCCUUUUGGACCACAAGGAACCCUCGAGAGGUUUAGGCCUCCACUCUGCGACCCCAGGUCAGGCGGGACCACCCGCUGAAUUUAA
rnacentral:rRNA from 1 species